CCCACCUGCAGGAGAGAGGACUUUCUGGAAGGCAAGUUCAGCCUUGCUAUCUGCGCCUGGCAUGUAGAAUGAAGACUGGAUCGUUUGGAGCAAAGGCCUCCCUGCAGUCACUGACAGCAGGGGGUUUGCAGACAGCUCAGCAGGAUGUCCUGGGACCAGUGCAGCCCAACUGGAAGUACCAGCGAGCUGAAAAACUCCCUUCAGAAGCACUCAGCCAUGGCCUACUGAGGAACUGCAAAGGACCACCCUCUCACCACACCUUUGAUGCCGUGGUGUUCCACAGGAGCUGUGAACAGCCUGCCUGCGCGUGGGGGUCAGCAACAGCCAACUUCCAGGCAAAAAUGCUGACAAAAACCCAAAGCUCCCCGUAUUCAGAGAGGUCUCACAGCCUGGGAUGGAUCUGUGGCCUUCCAGACUGCUGGAGGCUGUGAGAAUUGUGGAAUUUGACUCAGCUGGGCUGCCUCCUUCCUGCACCAAAGUUUCAAUGCAAACAUAGAAUGAAAAUUUCUUUCUUCAAACAUAAUUAAUUGCUUUCAAGUUUUGGCACUAAUGUUACUAUUGGAUUUCCGGGGCAUCCCAUGGUAAUGAUUAGAACUAAGCAAAUACCUCAAAAUAUUUUCCGUAAAAACUCCCUUGAAUAAAACAUGGAAUAGCCUUCAGCUGUGUUCAGACCCUUCUGUAUUUGCUUUCUCUGAAUAUUCCAGUGACUGAUUUACGGGCAGAAAUCUUAACUGAAACUGCAGUUUUUAAGGGAAUGUUGCACACCAUUUAUGGAAAGCAGAGUUUAAACUCCUCAAUAUGAAUAUAAUAACCAAAUGAAGACUAACUGGAGCAAAAAAAUAUCAGGUGACUCGAGUCCACCCAGUGUCGGGAGUCCGCCUCAGUGUUUGCAACUGCAAAGAAAACUAAGAAGGUGUCUGUGCACCGUGAAGACUGAAAAUUAGGACCAGAUAAAACUUGUGAGGUACUUAAUGACUUCUGAAAAAGCUCCUGAGCAGUUUGUGUCUGCAGCUCCUAUUGGCAACAUAACUGCAAAUUUGGCCAUAACUCAAAAUGAUGUUGGAUCCUGAAUGGAGUUAGGAAUUCAGAGUUAAUUGUGAACAGGAAAAGAGGCUGAGCUCGUUAACUUAGUUGUUUACUAUGAAUUAGCUGCUUGGACUUAG
ensembl:lncRNA